UAACCUGCCCAAGAGAUCGGGAUAACACCUGGAAACAGAUGCUAAUACCGGAUAACAACAGAUGAUGCCUAUCAACUGUUUAAAAGAUGGUUCUGCUAUCACUCUUGGAUGGACCUGCGGUGCGUUAGCUAGUUGGUAGGGUAACGGCCUACCAAGGCGAUGAUGCAUAGCCGAGUUGAGAGACUGAUGGCCACAUUGGGACUGAGACACGGCCCAAACUCCUACGGGAGGCAGCAGCU
rnacentral:rRNA from 1 species